AUUGAACGCUGGCGGCAGGCCUAACACAUGCAAGUCGAACGAGUGGCGGACGGGUGAGUAAUGUCUGGGAAACUGCCUGAUGGAGGGGGAUAACUACUGGAAACGGUCGCUAAUACCGCAUACCAUCGGAUGUGCCCAGAUGGGAUUAGCUAGUAGGUGGGGUAAAGGCUCACCUAGGCGACGAUCCCUAGCUGGUCUGAGAGGAUGACCAGCCACACGGGAACGUGGACACUGUCCAGACGCCUACGUGAGGCAGCAGUGGGGAAUAUUGCACAAUGGGCGCAAGCCUGAUGCAGCCAUGCCGCGUGUAUGAAGAUGGCAUUCGGGUUGUAAAGUACUUUCUGCGGGGAGGCGUUACCCGCAGAAGAAGCACCGGCUAACUCCGUGCCAGCAGCCGCGGUAAUAC
rnacentral:rRNA from 1 species